AGCUACAUUUUGUACAAGCAAAGAAGAUGUGGUCCAAGUUGCCCUCAUCCAACCCACAUUCACACAAUGAGUUCGCACGGACACCAAUCAUAGCCAGAAAUAACGGAGUACAUACUUUGCCUAAGCGUAAACGGCAAAUGGUGGAUAUUACCCACUUUGGAGAAGUACGGAAUCGAUAGAACCAUGGUUUUCGAGUAAUUCGAGGUUGUACACAGCCAUAAUGUUUACCAGUCUCCAAUCUAGAGAUAUCCCAUUGCCUCUGCCAUGUAUUAAACAUAUCAGAUAGUGCACAACUCAACAGCCUCAAGAAUAGCAACUGCCUCACCUGUGAAAAUGGACGCUUGAGGAGGACAUUUAAAUGGAAGGACGAUAUUGUACCGUGGAAUCCACACCGCUGCUCCCACACAUCUUGCAGGAUCCACCUUAGAAGCGUCAGUAAAAACCGUGACCUCCAGUGCCAGCGCCUGCAAGCGUGGGAGCAGCAAGUGGUUGUUGUAAGAGCUGGCUUUGAUCAAGAACCUGUCGGCGAGGUAUUGUCUGCGUAGAGCCAACGGCGGUUCAACACCUUCCACCUGCAUGCCAUUUUUGGGAGAGGGAAGCAUAGCACCUAGUAUGAUCCUUAAACAUUUAGCCUGUAUAAGAUCUAAUUUAUCUAGACCAUCCUUAUUACAGGGUUCCAUUAAAAAUGCCCCAUAGUCUAUAUGGCUACGUAUGAUGGCAUUGUAUAGUAGCUUCUGGCAAUAAGGAUGGGAACCCCACCAGACACCCGACAAUGCUCGAAGAAUAU